rnacentral:rRNA from 1 species
AGACGUAGGGGGCGAGCGUUGUCCGGAAUUACUGGGCGUAAAGAGCACGUAGGCGGGUAUUUAAGUCAGGUGUGAAAGACCGUGGCCCAACCACGGGGUUGCACAUGAAACUGGAUAUCUUGAGGGCAGGAGAGGGCAGUAGAAUUCCUGGUGUAGCGGUGAAAUGCGUAGAAAUCAGGAGGAAUACCAGUGGCGAAGGCGACUGCCUGGACUGACCCUGACGCUGAGGUGCGAAAGCGUGGGUAGCAAACAGGAUUAGAUACCCUGGUAGUCCACGCUGUAAACGAUGGAUACUAGGUGUGGGAGGUAUCGACCCCUUCUGUGCCGCAGCAAACGCAAUAAGUAUCCCGCCUGGGGAGUACGGUCGCAAGGCUGAA